rnacentral:rRNA from 1 species
GACGAACCGUGCAAACGUUGUUCGGAAUCCCUGGGCUUAAAGGGCGCGUAGGCGGUCGACCAAGUCCGGGGUGAAAUCUUUCGGCUUAACCGGAAAAGUGCCUUGGAUACUGGUCGGCUGGAGGGAGGUAGGGGCAGGUGGAACUUCCAGUGGAGCGGUGAAAUGCGUUGAUAUUGGAAGGAACGCCGGUGGCGAAAGCGACCUGCUGGGCCUUUUCUGACGCUGAGGCGCGAAAGCUAGGGGAGCAAACGGG